rnacentral:rRNA from 1 species
GUCCACGCUGUAAACGAUGAAUACUAGGUGUGGGGGGACUGACCCCCCUCCGUGCCGCAGUUAACACAAUAAGUAUUCCACCUGGGGAGUACGACCGCAAGGUUGAAACUCAAAGGAAUUGACGGGGGCCCGCACAAGCAGUGGAUUAUGUGGUUUAAUUCGACGCAACGCGAAGAACCUUACCAGGAUUUGACAUCCAACUAACGAAGUAGAGAUACAUCAGGUGCCCUUCGGGAAAGUUGAGACAGGUGGUGCAUGGUUGUCGU